UCUCUCUCUCACCCUCGCUCGUUCGCUCACUUACCAGGCAGAGCAGCCUUCCUUCUUCCCUGACUGCAGGAGCAGAGGCAGCCUGGGUAACAUGGCAGAUACAAAGCAAGUGACCCGCUGGCACUGACUACCGAUUCCAGAAUCCUGCAACCAGCUUUGCCACUGGCCAUAAAGACUGCAGAUCCCAGGAACUAUAUCCCCAAAAAAGUAACUUUUUUUUAGCUCUGUUUACCUUUCUCACCAGAAACAUAGGUGCCUCCCUUCCAUAAAUAGCACCUUAGAGUGACAAGCAAGAUGGAAAUCUUGGAAUCCUUUUCUCCAAGCUGGUGUUUAAAUGUGGAAACUUAUAUAGUUUCAAUAUAUAUUGAAUGAGCCAGUGAAUGAACUUUUAAAUAAACAUGAUUGAAGCAAAUUCCGGAUAUAAAGUAAAACUACUUUAUUUGUACUUCAUUUCCAGCUCUAAGGCAAAACAGCAAGCCUUGCCUGGAAUGGGCACUUUCAGUAAAUACUGGUUUAAUGUAUGGUUAAGCAGGAUCCCUUAGGAGUGCAAGAUAAUAUUUAUUAAACUUUGGGGGGAAGGAGGAUUCUGGCAAGCAUUUAGGGAGGGGAAUUAAUGUACAUCAUUAAACCCUAGACGAGCUGGGAAGGCCUGCUGAGCAGCUUAGAGAAGCCCAUCAGGAUGAUAAAUAGCUCAGAGUGGAGAUGUCCAUAUACGGCUCUAGGCUUCCAAUGAGGCGGGACAGUCCCGUGUGAGGAGCAUUGCGUACCAUUCUUGGAUCAGGUUCACAUUCUUCGGGUGUGUUUCUCUGGGAGCCUUUGAUUUCCGUUUUGAGGGCUGGCUGAGACCUCCAGUGGCUCUUAUAAGAAAAUAGCCGCGACUGAAGGUCGAAAAUGUGCAAGAUUCUUUCUUUAAGUACACAAACACGCUGAGUCUAGCCACUUUCCUGCAGUCCUGCCAAGGUUUUUCAGUAUGUCUGAUACUUGAUCAAGUGACUUCUUUGGAGAAAAGGGGCACUGCAUUGAAAAAGAAGAUGGAUAAACACGAAAAGAAAGGAUUCCAAAGAUCCACACCUGUACUUUCUUCAUCUUCUUUUAACAAGACUUACCACCAGUUGAAGCUCAUGCCGAAACACACAUUCCACCUAUAGCUGUAUAAACACAACUGUGUUGCCAAUGCAGUGAAUUCCUAGUUUUACCAGAAAAAAUAUACAGCCUGAAAAUGAGCUGCUGUAUAAACACCUGCAUGUAAGUUGAAAUGAGCCCAUUUUGACAAUCCUGAAUAUCAAUGACAGCCUGUGUAUUCCCCCCUUUCCCCCUCCCCCUCAAAUGGAGGCAUAAUGUUAUAUAAGGAGGCAAGGAAACAAAGCACACUGAUAGCAAUGGGAAUGUUUGUUGUUGUUUUUUUUUACUUCGUCAUUACCACAUCUGCACAAAACAUAUUUAAUGAGUCAUGGAGCCAACCAAACAUAGCUAGCACCCAAUUUAGUUCUGUUCACAUCAUGCCAUCCAUAAAAAGCAGACCAGAAUUAGAUAUUUUCAUUGUACCAGUCUUAGGGGAAAGACUUCAGUUCCCAGAAGCACUCCCACACACAACUUGAAUAUUGGCAUACAAUUCAGAGAAGUGUAGUCUAAAACAGCUCGAGGCCAAAUGUUCUGCACUACUGUCACUGAAAAAUCCUGAAUGAAAUGGUUGCUUUUUAUGAGGAGUAAUUGGAUGUCCAAUGGAUGCCCACAUUUGUCAGGCAAAGAAAGCGCAACGCCUUAGUCAUGCUUUGUCUGUCUAGCAAUGUCUGAAGCAUGGUGAUCCAUGACUGAUGUGAUAAAAUCCAGGCUAAUCCAUCACUUCUUUAUGACAAGGGGUGUACAAAACUGCCAACAGAGAUUCAAAUGUCACAAACAGUUCAAAUGUCAUCACGGACACCAAUCUUCAAUAAGAAAAGUUUACAUACUCCAUUAUUUGGUGGUGAAUUUAAAUACUCGUGAGAUGGCUAUGCAUGUGUGAAUCAAUCCCUUGAUUGGUUUACAAGUCUCUAAAUCAGGCAUGGGCAAACUUCAACCCUCUAGGUGUUUUGAACUUCAACUCCCACAAUCCCUAACAGCCUACCAGCUGUUAGGAAUUGUGGGAGUUGAAGUCCAAAACACCUGGAGGGCCGAAGUUUGCCCAUACCUGCUUUAAAUCUUAGUCAUGUAGCUGAUUUUCUAGGUGAUCACGAACCAGCUGCUUUUUUCUGUUCUACAGCCAGACCCUGAUGAAGUUACUGUAUUUACUCAAAUCUAAUGCUUUUUGCCACUCUGCAUUACAUUCGGCAGCAAAUCCUUCAUUUCAAGGUUCUGAAAACUGAGGUGUGCAUUACAUUCGAUGGCGCAUUAGACUUGAGAGACAUUGAGAGACUUGGGAGACAUCCACUUCCCCCCAAGCUCUCCAGAUGCCCAUGCUGAUGAUAUGCUUCUUGGCAUUAUGAGGAAAGUUUUUUUAAAAAAAACUGGAUCUACACUUGUUCACAUAUACUCCCCCACUUGUUGUGAAUGGAGUGGAAACAACACCUCUACUAAAUUGCUCAAUAUGUGAAAGCUUGCCAUUCACUUUUUGCUUUUUGUGGGGUGGUAGGGUCCAGAAAUUGGAAUCAUUGCACACAGAUAUAUGUUAUUGCCUGACCCCACUGAAUUCCUUGACAGCACCUUGUUUACUGUUUUAUUGUUUAUAUGCUUGUUUUAUAUGCUUCUUAUGUGUUAUUGUUUUUAAAUGUACUUGAUAUUGUAUUUUAUGAUGAACCGGGCUUUGUCCCCAUGUGAGCCGCCCUGAGUCCCUUCAGGGAGAUGGGGUGGGAUACAAAAAUAAAGUUGUUGUUGUUGUUGUUGUU